CAAUAAUCUCUUCAGAUCAUUCUGAUGCAAAGCCAUGGUGAGAAUUGAUGUCUGA
rnacentral:snoRNA from 10 species